CAGUAGCCGCGGUAAUACGGAGGGGGCUAGCGUUGUUCGGAAUUACUGGGCGUAAAGCGUACGUAGGCGGCUUUGUAAGUUAGAGGUGAAAGCCUGGUGCUCAACACCAGAACUGCCUUUAAGACUGCAUCGCUUGAACGUCGGAGAGGUGAGUGGAAUUCCGAGUGUAGAGGUGAAAUUCGUAGAUAUUCGGAAGAACACCAGUGGCGAAGGCGACUGACUGGACAAGUAUUGACGCUGAGGUGCGAAAGCGUGGGGAGCAAACAGGAUUAGAUACCCGCGUAGUCCCUGUCUCUUAUAC
rnacentral:rRNA from 1 species